AACGUAGGAGACAAACGUUAUCCGGAGUUACUGGGCGUAAAGGGCGUGUAGGUGGUUUCGUAAGUCUGGCGUGAAAUUUUUCGGCUUAACCGGGAAAGGUCGUCGGAUACUGCGGAACUAGAGGACGGUAGAGGCGUGUGGAAUUCCGGGUGUAGUGGUGAAAUGCGUAGAGAUCCGGAGGAAUACCAGUGGCGAAGGCGACACGCUGGGCCGUACCUGACACUGAUGCGCGACAGCAUGGGGAGCAAACAGG
rnacentral:rRNA from 1 species